rnacentral:lncRNA from 9 species
UGUAGACAGACACAAGUUUAUUCUAAAAUUUACAUGGAAAGUGAAAGGAUCUAGUGUAGUCAAAACAGUUUCUGGAAAAGAAGAAUAAAGUGGGAGGAAUAAUAUUUUCUAGAUAUUAAAGCUUGCUAUAAAGUUACAGUAAUCCAGACAGUGUGGGAGUUCCCGUUGUGGCUCAGUGGUUAACGAAUCCGACUAGGAACCAUGAGGCUGCAGCUUCAAUCCCUGGCCUUGCUCAGUGGGUCAGGGAUCGAACCUGCGUCCUCAUGGAUGCUAGUCAGUUUCGUUUCUGCUGAUCCAUGAGGGAACUCCAGAAACUAAGCAAAUGUCUUUUAAUGGUGAAUGGUUUAACUGUGGUACAUCCAUACCAUGGAAUACUACUCAAAAAUAAAAAGGAAUGCACUACUAAUACACAAAACAAUUUAGAUCUCAAGGGAAUUAUGCUGAAUGAAAAAAGCCAAUCUCAAAAAGAUACCUACUGCAUGAUUCUGUAUAUGUAAUAUUCAUGAAAUAACAUAAUUAUAGAGAUGGAGAAUGGAUUAGCGUUGCCAGGGGUUAGUGAUGGUGGAGAGGGAUGGACAAGGCCAUAAAGAGGUAACACCGACACAGUGUCUUGUGAUGAUGGCAAAACUGAGGGUUUCGGGGCUUUUUUUGUAACAGCUUUAUUGAGAUAUAAUUCAUAUAUGCAGUUCAGUACUUUGAUUGCAAUGAUGAUUACUCAAGGCUACACAUAUGAUAAAAUUACAUGGAACUAUGCCCACAUAUCCAAUGACUGCAUUAUAACUGGUGAAAUCUGGAAGUUCCCAUCGUAGCUCAGUGGUUAAUGAAUCCAAUUAGGAACCAUGAGGUUUCGGGUUCAAUCCCUGACCUUGCUCAGUGGGUUAAGGAUCCGGCGUUGCCGUGAACUAUGCUGUAGGUCGCAGACAAGGCUUGGAUCCCCAGUUGCUGCGGCGUAGGCCAGCGGCCACAGCUCUGAUUAGACCCCUAGCCUGGAAACCUCCAUAUGCUGCAGGUGUGGCCCUAAAAAGACAAAUAAGGUAAAAUAAAGUAAAAUGGCACCUGGCACAUUAUCUUUGUUGAAUGAAUGAUGAGUUUGCCUGCCUUCCUGUAGAUUUACAUUUUGUUUAUUGUGUCUAUACAUAAAUUGGCCCCUACAGUCUCCGGCCAGAAAGCACCUUCAUCAAGGUAUCCACCCAGACGCUCCAUUCAGAGGAAUUUCAAUUGCCUUUUUUCAGUAAUAACACUUUACUACAUGCAAUCCUCUAGUGGGGAAUAAGCAUCUGAUCCCAUUCUACUCAUUCCUUUCCUGCUCCAACCAAGCCUUUGGGAAUAUGUUCUCAUUUAGAGUCUUUCUGUGACAGCUAAACCUGCAGCUAUGAGAAGACAGCUAAAUAAAGGACCUUGAAUCUGGACAGAGUUGACCCUGUGUUCCUUAUAAAGAGCUUCAGGAGGUCAAGGCUUCAGACAGAUUUGUUCAAAUAUGCAAAAUGAAGAAAUUUUAUAAGAAAAGGAACCAAAGAAAGAUCAUUAAUCUCUCGACCAUCUAUCUUGUUACAUAUGGUCAUGGGAAAGUUUACUGUGCCGUCUGCGAUAGGCAAAAUAAUGGGUCUUAAAGAUGCCACAUCCUAAUCCUCAGAACCUGUGACUAUGAUGCCUCACGUGGUAAAAGGGACCUUGCAGAUGGAUGUGAUUCAGGUUAAGGAUGCUGAGAUGGAAAGAUUAGCCUGGAUUAUGCAAGUGGGCCCCAUCUACUCGUAUGGGUGCUUAAAAGUGGAGAACUUUUCCUGCAUGCAGAAAACAAGAGAGAUGGAGUGGUAGGGAGGACUUGAUCUGCUGUUGCUGGCUUCGAAGAUGGAGACUUCAAGAAGCUGGAAAAGGCAAGGAAAGAGAUUCUCUCUUGGAAACUCCGGAAGAAAUACAGCUCUUCCAACACUUUGACUUUAGCCCAGUGAGACCUGUAUCAGAUUCUGACUUACCGGACUAUAUGAUGAUAAAUGUGUAUCAUUUUACGUACUAAGUUUGUGGUGAGUUGUUACAGCAGCAUUAGAAAACUAACAUAGCAGAGUUCCCGUCGUGGCACGGUGGUUAACGAAUCUGACUAGGAACCGUGAGGUUGCGGCUUCCAUCCCUGGCCUUGCUCAGUGGGUUAAUGAUCUGGCGUUGCUGUGAGCUGUGGCAUAGGUUGAAGAUGCGGCUCGGAUCCGGCGUUGUUGUGGCUCUGGUGUAGGCCAGCGGCUACAGCUCCGAUUGGACCCCUAGCCUGGGAACCUCCAUAUGCCGUGGGAAGCGGCUCUAGAAAACGCAGAAAGACAAAAAAAAAAAAAAAAAAAAAAAAAAAAAA